AUGGAUCUUGGUGGUCGUGCUUUGCAACAACAUGAUGAAUUUAGCUGGAUCAUGAGGCCCAAUUUUUGGAGUAGCAACUAUAUGAAGUGUACAAUGAAAUGGGAUAGCACAAGGAAGAGCUUUGAUGCAUUUGAGGCUUCUAGGGACACACAACGUUGUGGAUUACAUAGGUUGUGUUCUUGGAGGGUUACACAAGAUGGGUUUUACUUUAGUAAUGAUGAAGUGAGUUGGAGAAAAGAUUUCAUAUGGUGA